rnacentral:rRNA from 1 species
UACGUAGGGGCCUAGCGUUGUCCGGAUUUAUUGGGCGUAAAGAGCUCGUAGGCGGUUUGGUGAGUCGGGUGUGAAAUCUCCACGCUCAACGUGGAGGGGCCACCCGAUACUGCCAUGACUAGAGUCCGGUAGGGGAGUGUGGAAUUCCCGGUGUAGCGGUGAAAUGCGCAGAUAUCAGGAGGAACACCGGUGGCGAAGGCGGCACUCUGGGCCGGAACUGACGCUGAGGAGCGAAAGCGUGGGGAGCGAACAGG